rnacentral:rRNA from 1 species
UACAGAGGGUGCGAGCGUUAAUCGGAAUGACUGGGCGUAAAGGGUGCGUAGGUGGUUAGCUAAGUUAGCUGUGAAAGCCCCGGGCUUAACCUGGGAAUGGCAGCUAAAACUGGUUGACUGGAGUAGGUGAGAGGAGUGUGGAAUUUCCGGUGUAGCGGUGAAAUGCGUAGAUAUCAAGUGGAACACCAGUGGCGAAGGCGAGUCUCUGGACAUUUCCUGACGCUGAGGCACGAAAGCCAGGGGAGCAAACGGG